rnacentral:rRNA from 1 species
CCUGAUUCCCCUCAGAGAUACUGCCUCAGGCACAUAUAUGCAAAUUUUCAGUCAGCUGGUUUCAGAGGAGCAGAACUAAAGAAGCUAGUAGAUCAGGCUAGCUACUCAUUCACCAAACAUGGCCAUGAAUUAGCAAUGGCAGAGCUUAAAGCAGAGUGUGAGGAUGCCUGGAAGUGGCUUAAAAAAAUUCCAAAGGAGACUUGGUGUAGGUCUGCAAUGGAUUACAAUUGCAAAACUGAUCUUGUUGUGAACAACCUUAGUGAGGUUUUCAACAAAAUGAUCCUUGAUGUUAGGGCCAAACCAAUUAGG